rnacentral:pre_miRNA from 1 species
AACAAUCUCCAUUAAGGUGGGUGGAAUAGUAUAACAAUGUGCUAAAUGUUGUUAUAGUAUCCCACCUACCCUGAUGUAUAUU